GAAAGAAGACAAAAGGAAAGAAGAAGAAAGGAACAGGGGAGCAGAGAUGAUGGAACUCAGUUCGUCCCCAGCCAUCCACUGGUACUUAUCUUGUUUUAGGUUUGUUCUUCGUGUUUUCUUUUUGAUCCUCCUCAUUUUGUGCCAAU
rnacentral:ribozyme from 1 species